GCGUGCCCACGCGCACGCGUGGCCGCCUGCCAGUCGCAGCCACGGGCACAACCGAGCACAAGGAUACACUCCACUGUCACCUCUCUCCCGGCGAACUGGCUUGACGGUUACUGCCAAAUGGAGACCCGCGCUUGGUGUAGAAAUACUUGUCCUGGCACCGCCAGGCUGGACUCAGAGCACAGCUCCACACUGGGAAAAGGACAUGGAACCUCCACCUGGAGGGCAGUAUAAGCUCCCAGCGACCGCUCCAGCACCAUGCCUGCCUGUCUGCUACCAUGUUGCCUGCCGUGAUAGUUAACGGACUAACCCAUGGGAGUCCCAGAUUAGACACUUGUCUCUGUUCACAGAGGUCCAUGGCCAGCAGAUCUGACCCAUGAAGACCUUCUGGGGAUGAAAGACCCACAUGUGAACCAUUUAUGACAUGCUCACUAGGGCCAGAGGACUGGAGGGGAGGCCUGUCCUGGUGUGAGCCUUUGAUUUUAAAACCUAAGAAGGCAUCUGA